rnacentral:rRNA from 1 species
AACGAACGCUGGCGGCAUGCCUAACACAUGCAAGUCGAACGAGACCUUCGGGUCUAGUGGCGCACGUGUGCGUAACGCGUGGGAACCUGCCCUUAGGUUCGGAAUACCUCCCCGAAAGGGGUGCUAAUACCGGAUAAUGUCUUCGGACCAAAGAUUUAUCGCCUGUUGAUGGGCCCGCGUUGGAUUAGCUAGUUGGUAGGGUAAAAGCCUACUAGGGCGACGAUCCAUAGCUGGUCUGAGAGGAUGAGAAGCCAAACUAGAUCUGGGACAGAGCCCAGACGCAUACGGGAGGAAGCAGUGGGGAAUAUUGGACGAGGGGCGAAAGCAGGAACCAGCAGUGCCGGGUGAGGGAUGAAGGCUUGAGGGUUGAAAAGCUCUUUGACGCGGGAUGAUAGAGAGAGAAGGGGAAAAAAAAGCUCGGGCAAACUCCG